CUGCAGCCCAAGUGGUGAUCGAUAUUAUUGAGCCUAAAGCGUCCGUAGCCGGUUUGGUAAACCCUCGGGUAAAUCGAGCAGCUUAACUGUUCGAAUUCCGGGGGGACUGCCAGACUUGGGACCGGGAGAGGUCAGAGGUACUUCAGGGGUAGGGGCUAAAUCCUGUAAUCCUUGAAGGACCACCAGUGGCGAAGGCGUCUGACUAGAACGGAUCCGACGGUAAGGGACGAAACCCUGGGGCGCGAACCGGAUUAGAUACCCGCGUAGUCC
rnacentral:rRNA from 1 species